CUGCUGCCUCCCGUAGGAGUUUGGGCCGUGUCUCAGUCCCAAUGUGGCCGGUCACCCUCUCAGGUCGGCUACUGAUCGUCGCUUUGGUGGGCCGUUACCCCGCCAACUGGCUAAUCAGACGCGGGUCCAUCUUAUACCACCGGAGUUUUUCACACUGUACCAUGCAGUACUGUGCGCUUAUGCGGUAUUAGCAGUCAUUUCUAACUGUUAUCCCCCUGUAUAAGGCAGGUUACCCACGCGUUACUCACCCGUCCGCCG
rnacentral:rRNA from 1 species